GUCGAGGAUCUUCCGCAAUGGGGGCAACCCUGACGGAGCGACGCCGCGUGCGGGAUGAAGGCCUUCGGGUUGUAAACCGCUGUCAAAGAUUAGGAAUGGGCCUGGUGCAAAUAGCACUAGGUUUUGACAAAAGUCUGAGAGGAAGCCACGGCUAACUCUGUGCCAGCAGCCGCGGUAAGACAGAGGUGGCAACCGUUGUUCGGAAUCACUGGGCAUAAAGCGCGCGUAGGCGGUGAAGUAAGUCGGGUGUGAAAUCCCUCGGCCUAACCGAGGAACUGCGCUCGAAACUACUUCGCUGGAGGGCAGGAGGGGAGCGUGGAAUUCCUGGUGGAGCGGUGAAAUGCGUUGAUAUCAGGAGGAACACCGGCGGCGAAGGCGACGCUCUGGUCUGCUACUGACGCUGAGGCGCGAAAGCCAGGGGAGCAAACGGGAUUAGAUACCCCGGUAGUCC
rnacentral:rRNA from 1 species